rnacentral:rRNA from 1 species
UACGAAGGGGGCUAGCGUUGCUCGGAAUCACUGGGCGUAAAGCGCACGUAGGCGGCUUUCUAAGUCAGGGGUGAAAUCCUGGAGCUCAACUCCAGAACUGCCUUUGAUACUGGAGAGCUAGAGUCCGGAAGAGGUGAGUGGAACUGCGAGUGUAGAGGUGAAAUUCGUAGAUAUUCGCAAGAACACCAGUGGCGAAGGCAGCGAAUUGGCCCUAUAUUGACGCUCAGGCACGAAAGCAUGGGGAUCAAACAGG